rnacentral:tRNA from 1 species
UGGGUGUGGCUCAGUGGUAGAGCACUUGCCUAGCAUGCGCCAGGAUUUGGGUUCCAUCCCCAGCACCACAA